rnacentral:rRNA from 1 species
CCUACGGGAGGCUGCAGUGAGGAAUCUUCCACAAUGGACGAAAGUCUGAUGGAGCGACACCGCGUGAAGGAUGAAGGCCUAACGGUUGUAAACUUCUUUUCUGAAGGAGCAUAAUGAGAGUACUUCAGGAAUAAGGGACGGCUAAAUACGUGCCAGCAGCCGCGGUAAUACGUAUGUCUCGAGCGUUACCCGGAAUCACUGGGUGUAAAGGGUUCGUAGGCGGUUUAAUAAGUUGGAUAUGAAAGACCGGAGCUCAACUUCGUGUUUGUGUUCAAAACUGUUAAACUAGAAUCAGGGAGAGGUAAGUAGAAUUCCAAGUGUAGGGGUGCAAUCCGUAGAUACUUAGAGGAAUACCAAAAGCGAAGGCAACUUACUGGAACUGUAUUGACGCUGAGGAACGAAAGCGUGGGUAGCGAAAAGGAUUAGAUACCCUUGUAGUC